GACGAACGCUGGCGGCGUGCUUAACACAUGCAAGUCGAACGCUGAAGCCCUUCGGGGUGGAUGAGUGGCGAACGGGUGAGUAACACGUGGGUAAUCUGCCCUGCACUCUGGGAUAAGCCUUGGGAACGGGGUCUAAUACCGGAUAGGACACAUCGCCGCAUGGUGUGUGUGUGGAAAGUUCCGGCGGUGCAGGUUGAGCCCGCGGCCUAUCAGCUUGUUGGUGGGGUGAUGGCCUACCAAGGCGACGACGGGUAGCCGGCCUGAGAGGGUGACCGGCCACACUGGGGGUGAGACACGGCCCAGACGCCUACGGGAGGCAGCAGUGGGGAAUCUUGCGCAAUGGGCGAAAGCCUGACGCAGCAACGCCGCGUGGGGGAUGACGGCCUUCGGGUUGUAAACCUCUUUCGACCGGGACGAAGGAUUCGUUUGACGGUACCGGUAGAAGAAGCACCGGCUAACUACGUGCCAGCCGCCGCAGUAA
rnacentral:rRNA from 1 species